AAUAUAAUGGCUGAAGUUUUAAGCGUUAGCCUGUAAAGCUAAAAAUGAAUUAUUUUUCUUAUAUUA
rnacentral:tRNA from 1 species